rnacentral:rRNA from 1 species
CCUACGGGAGGCAGCAGUGGGGAAUUUUGGACAAUGGGCGCAAGCCUGAUCCAGCCAUUCCGCGUGCAGGAUGAAGGCCUUCGGGUUGUAAACUGCUUUUGUACGGAACGAAAAGGCUCUGGCUAAUACCUGGGGCUCAUGACGGUACCGUAAGAAUAAGCACCGGCUAACUACGUGCCAGCAGCCGCGGUAAUACGUAGGGUGCGAGCGUUAAUCGGAAUUACUGGGCGUAAAGCGUGCGCAGGCGGUUAUGUAAGACAGAGGUGAAAUCCCCGGGCUCAACCUGGGAACUGCCUUUGGGACUGCAUGACUAGAGUACGGCAGAGGGGGAUGGAAUUCCGCGUGUAGCAGUGAAAUGCGUAGAUAUGCGGAGGAACACCGAUGGCGAAGGCAAUCCCCUGGGCCUGUACUGACGC